UACGUAGGGUGCAAGCGUUGUCCGGAAUUAUUGGGCGUAAAGAGCUCGUAGGCGGUCUGUCGCGUCUGCUGUGAAAACUCAGGGCUUAACCCUGAGCUUGCAGUGGGUACGGGCAGACUAGAGUGCGGUAGGGGAGACUGGAAUUCCUGGUGUAGCGGUGAAAUGCGCAGAUAUCAGGAGGAACACCGGUGGCGAAGGCGGGUUGCUGGGCUGAUACUGACGCUGAGGCGCGAAAGCCAGGGGAGCGAACGGG
rnacentral:rRNA from 1 species